CCCUUAGAUGUUCUGGGCCGCACGCGUGCUACACUGAGUAAUUCAAUGGGUAAGGGAACGCUAGAGCAUUACCUAAUCUUGAAGUUUGCUCGUGAUGGGGAUCGACGGUUGCAAUUUUCCGUCGUGAACGAGGAAUACCUUGUAGGCGCAUGUCAUCAUCAUGCGCCGAAUACGUCCCUGCCCUUUGUACACACCGCCCGUCGCUCCUACCGAUUGAGUGAUCCGGUGAGGCUCUGGGACCUGGACGGAAAGAGCGUUUCGCUUGUUCUGUUUGGGAAACUUGGUCGAACCUUAUCAUUUAGAGGAAGGAGAAGUCGUAACA
rnacentral:rRNA from 1 species